rnacentral:rRNA from 1 species
AUUGAACGCUGGCGGCGUGCCUAAUACAUGCAAGUAGGACGCAGUUGCGAACGGGUGAGUAACGCGUAGGUAACUGACUAUUAGAGGGGGAUAACUAUUGGAAACGAUAGAUAAUACCGCAUACUAGUAGAUGGACCUGAGUUGUAUUAGCUAGUAGGUAGGGUAAUGGCCUACCUAGGCGACGAUACAUAGCCGCCCAGAGAGGGUGAGCGGCCACACUGGGACUGGGACACGGACGCGCGUCCUACGGGAGGCAGCAGUAGAGAAGCUUCGGCAAUGGGGGGAACGCUGACCGAGCAACGCCGCGUGAGUGAAGAAGGUUUUCAGUUCGUAAAGCUCUGUUGUUAAGGAAGCGGUACUUAAACAGAAAGGGACGGCUAACUACGUGCCAGCAGCCGCGGUAAUUC